AAUUGUAAAAAUUUAGACUACCCAAUAUGUUGUAUUCGUGCAUCCGUGCAACCCUAAUUCAAUUUGAUCCAUUUGAAAGUAAAACAAAAUUUAUUAUGUCUUUAUCCUUUAAAUUAAAGAUCCCAGUCAUCCUCAUCGUCUUGAACACGUCGAUUGAUCUAAUUAAACAGUUAAACUCUGGACCAUGUAAUAUAAACAGAUGUUUUUUUUUGAUAUUUCUCUCCUCAGAUGAAUUUGAAAUAAAAAAGGAGAGAAGGAAUUAGUAAGGCACUUACCACAAUUUUUGUUUCAUUACGUUUGGAGACCUCACCAGAAAUUUUUUCUAACAAUUCGAUAAGUUCGGGCUCUGAGAUUUUAUGAGAUAUCUGGCCCGUUUUGGCCAUACGUAACAGGAGCUCUUCAACAGCUACACAAAUUAGACACAUGUUUACAUUAUUCGUAAACAGAUAUUAAAUUAUUAUCCGCCGCAGAAAAUGAAAUCACACUUACCUUCAGCACGAUCUUUUCGUACCAACGCUAUACGACGAAGUCUGUCUCUUGCUGGGUGUUCCAAAAUUUGAGAAAGCUUAUGAAAUUGUUAGUCGGAUAUGGACCAUACACAUCAUAAACAUACUAGAUUUUGUCGCAUUUCAUCUUGUACCUCCUGUUGUUGCUGAUUGCUUGAUGGACCUGAAGCAAUAUUACUAGAUUUGUUAAUUCUU